rnacentral:misc_RNA from 1 species
ACUUGAGAGCAUCCAGGA